rnacentral:rRNA from 1 species
UACGUAGGGUGCAAGCGUUGUCCGGAAUUAUUGGGCGUAAAGAGCUCGUAGGCGGCCUGUCGCGUCGGCUGUGAAAACCCGGGGCUCAACCCCGGGCCUGCAGUCGAUACGGGCAGGCUAGAGUCCGGUAGGGGAGACUGGAAUUCCUGGUGUAGCGGUGAAAUGCGCAGAUAUCAGGAGGAACACCAGCGGCGAAGGCGGCGCUCUGGGCCGGUACUGACGCUGAGGAGCGAAAGCGUGGGGAGCAAACAGG